rnacentral:rRNA from 1 species
UACGUAGGGUGCAAGCGUUAAUCGGAAUUACUGGGCGUAAAGCGUGCGCAGGCGGUUUUGUAAGUCUGACGUGAAAUCCCCGGGCUCAACCUGGGAACUGCAUUGGUGACUGCAUUGCUGGAGUAUGGCAGAGGGGGGUGGAAUUCCUGGUGUAGCGGUGAAAUGCGUAGAUAUCAGGAGGAACACCGGUGGCGAAGGCGGCGUUCUGGACUGUCUCUGACACUGAAGAACGAAAGCCAGGGGAGCAAACGGG